rnacentral:rRNA from 1 species
UAUGUGAUCGUCUCUCGCAUAUCAAUAAGCGGAGGAAAAGAAACUAACAAGGAUUCCCUUAGUAACGGCGAGUGAAGCGGGAAGAGCUCAAAUUUGAAAUCUUCAAGGUUUUACCUUGACGAAUUGUAGUUUAAAGAAGUGUUUUCUGUUGAAGUUUUGGUAAAAGUUCUUUGGAAUAGGACAUCAUAGAGGGUGAGAAUCCCGUAUUUGACCAUUAUUUUCAGCUGUGUGAUACACUUUCAAAGAGUCGGAUUGUUUGGGAAUGCAGUCCAAAAUGGGUGGUAAAUUUCAUCUAAAGCUAAAUAUUGGCGAAGAGACCGAUAGCGAACAAGUACCGUGAGGGAAAGAUGAAAAGAACUUUGAAAAGAGAGUUAAACAGUACGUGAAAUUGUCAAAAGGGAAGCGUUUGACACCAGUGUUGUUUUCUCGAAAAUCAAUUAAAAAGAGUUUGAUUUUGUUGUGUAUUGACCUUAACAGCUUGCAUUUCAAUUUUCUUGCUUUUUUUAAUGCACUUUUCGUUUAACAAGUCAACAUCAGUUUCCUUUUGUUGUAAAAAGGUCAUUGGAAGGUGGCUUUCUUUUCGGAGAAAGUGUUUAUAGCCUUUGACUCCUGCAAUCGGAGAGACUGAGGUCUGCAGCGUAGAUCCUUCGGGGUUAGAUACAUUUGUGCUAAGUUAUAGCUUUUUAUAGACAACUUGUUGACUAUGAUUAGUCUUGUAGCUUACUCGCUUAUGCUAUUUUACCUACGCUUAGGAUGUUGAAGAUGUAGCACAUCAU